UACGGAGGGUGCAAGCGUUGUUCGGAUUUACUGGGCGUAAAGCGCGCGCAGGUGGGUGUACAAGUCGGAAGUGAAAUCCCAGGGCUCAACCCUGGGGCUGCUCCCGAGACUGUACGCCUAGGGACUGGUAGAGGCUGGUAGAAUUCCCGGUGUAGCGGUGGAAUGCGUAGAGAUCGGGAAGAAUACCCGUGGCGAAGGCGGCCAGCUGGGCCAGAUCCGACACUGAGGCGCGAAAGCGUGGGGAGCAAACAGG
rnacentral:rRNA from 1 species